rnacentral:lncRNA from 1 species
UGCACUGUACACUGUACUGCAGUAUGCUCUGAGCCAGAUUUAGGUCUCAGUUGACAAAAGUCUGCUGCUUGGUAAAUCAGAAUUAAUAUUCAGAAUCACUGGUAGAGGUUAGAGUGGGCGUUCCUCUCUUCCCCUCCUCCCCUUCAUACUUCGACUCUCUGCGUACUGAGAGCCUGGAGUAUAGAAGUAAGCUAUAGAUGACGACCUUGCCAAUCCCCCUGGAAAGGUCGAGUACUCGUUUAUUUGUCAUUCUGUAUUGAAAUAAACGAUUGUACAAAUUUA